UCUGCUCCAUGAGACUGUACUUCCUAAUAAAAUAGUAGGUCAUAAACUCCAUAGUUUAGGUUGAGCUUUUUGAAAAACCCAGACUAAGAGAGUUAACGAAGGAAAAGAAAAUACCCAGGUUCAUUCUUUCUGGAGUCAAUCUGGUUGCUUGGAUUUUGGUGUUAGAACACUUGGAAUAUAUCCUAGUUUUUCCAGAUACCUGGGAAAAGUUCACAAUGCUUCGAAUGUAUUGAGCAUUUUAAUGUAAUCACUUAGGUCAAUAAAUAGGGAACUCAAGUUAGUGUCAGUGUAACUUGAGUGAAUUGAUUAUUGAGCCACUAACUCUUUCCCCACUUUUUUUCCUAGGAAUUGCUUGCCUAUGUUUCUGUCAUAUUUACGGAAUGGGCAUCCACGAUUAUAAAACAUUCUGCUUCCUGGCCAAAGGAUUCCUGAAAAACUGUGCCAAUAGAGUUUGUCUGGUGGCAGAAGUGGAAGUCAGAGAGAGUCGAAGCAUGAGGGGAUCUGACAUAUGAGAAACCCUUGAAGGUGUUGGGGGCAAUGUGAGAAGGAAUGUGUGUGGCCUUAGGAGCUGACAGUGCCCUGCUGACAGUCCUCAGGGAAACUGAAGUCUUCUCACAACAUGAAUGAGCUUGGAAGCAGAGUUCCAUCAUAGCCAUCAGGCGAGGACUCAGCCGGCUGAACCUUUACUAUUGGCCAUUUGAGAUCCUGAACAAAGGACCCAGUUCUGCCUUUCUGGACUUCUGUCCCACAAAACUGCGAGGCUUUGUUAUUUUAUCUCAUGCUGCCUAUAUGUCUUUCUGAAACUACUAUUACUGAAUCAUUACAAAAAGGAAGAGUUGUUCUUCAUCCACAAAUGUGUCAUUGGGCUGAUUAUUUCCUCAAGGAGAAGAAAUUCUGUCUGUGGACUGUAGCUUCAGCUGGUGCCCAAGAGCUCCAGCGUCCUUGUGUGACUGUCUGCCAUAUAAAAUUCAGACAUGCCUAGCCAGCCCCAACAAUGCAUAACUCAA